AAUGGCUAUACAUUUACAAACACACGGUAUAGUCAAUUCAUAAUUAGUUUCGAAAAUUCAAACUGAACACACCACUCGUCUUUAACAAUACACUAAUAAAAGGCAAAAAAGCAGAAAAAUGAAAUUUAUUAUUAUUACAUUAUUUGUGAUACUUUGUGCAGCGUUGAAUGUUAAUGGGACACCUAAGAUGUAUAGAGAGGGAGACGGACUUUGGCCGCCAAAUUUAGGAAACCCGGAAACCCCGUGAUCUACGACCAUGUGUGUGCACAAAUGGAUCAGUACAUUACGGUUUCCAAAUUAUUAAGAGAAAAAAAUUACAAUUGAUAGUAAAAAUGUAAUAUUAAUUUCUGUAAGACUAUA